AAAUUAUGUGUAAAUAAUAUGAAAGAUUGCUUCACCGUCCGCCAAUAACAAGAUUAUGGACUCUGACCAGCCGGAAGGGUCCAACGAGAUAGAUUCCGAUUCGGAAAACGUAACGGACGCGCCCGACCAGUCCAUCGGACUUAGCGGCAUAUUCGAUGCUGCGGUUAUUGACCUUGGUAUCUAGAAAACGGAGCCUUUUGAACUUUAGCUGAUGAUUAAUAGACAUUGUUUAUAAUUAUUGCAUAAAAUAAACAAUUAGUGAACAAUACCA